rnacentral:lncRNA from 1 species
CUCAUUGUUUAUUCGUUGGUCCCUGGUUGAUAGUUGUGUUCAUUGUUUAUUCGUUGGUCCCUUGUGGAUAGUUUUGGUCUCUUGUGGAUAGUUGAGUUCAUUGUUUAUUCGUUGGUCCCUGGUGGAUAGUUUUCUCAUUGUUUAUUCGUUGGUCCCUGGUUGAUAGUUGUGUUCAUUGUUUUAUUCGUUGGUCCCUGGUGGAUAGUUCAGUUCAUUGUUUAUUCGUUGGUCCCUGGUGGAUAGUUGUCUCAUUGUUUAUUCGUUGGUCCCUGGUGGAUAGUUGUCUCAUUGUUUAUUCGUUGGUCCCUGGUGGAUAGUUGUGUUCAUUGUUUAUUCGUUGGUCCCUGGUUGAUAGUU